CUGGCCCCCGCCCCCGCUUCUUCCCGUGGGAUGGGAGUGGGGUGAGGUUUGGGGGAGGGCUCCUGCGGGCAGAGAAAGAGCGAGAAAAAGUUAAGGAAGCCCAAACAGAACUAAAGUUUCUGCUCUCCUGCGUCCUCCUCCGUCGGGCUUGGCCCUUGGGGCUGGGACCUCAGCUCGGGACCGCCCGUCACGGAAGUUGGCUGAGUUGCAAGUUCCCUCUGGGGACUGACGGGGAAUCACCAGUGUCUGGGGCGGGCCAGGGAGGAGGUCACCAUGACUUUGGGGCUGCUUGGGAGAAGGAGGUUCCGAGGAGAUUAGGGGUCGCGGGAGGAGGCAGCUGGUAACCAAAGGCGCUCGGCUCCCUGACCAGGGAGUGCGGCCUGGGCCUGGCUGGGUGGGCGGCUCCUGGGUUAUCAACUCAAGGGCUGCAAGGCUUUGGCCUUGGAGCCGGUUCGACUGCUUUGCUCCAGGCCCUGGUGGCCCUCGCUUGCCAGUUGACCUUGCCCCCACGAAAACAGGGAAAAUUCUCAGAGAGAAAGCGGGAACCCGCUGGCCCACGGCGGUUUGGGGGAGUCGCGCAUCAACCGGGAAACCAGGACAACAGACGUGCCAAAAUCCGACCCAGGGAAGUGUCCUUUACAGGGCGAAUGAACCGGGGGCAUUUUUGAGAGGAGACGAGGGACCCGUCUAUGUUUUAGUUAUGAUUUUUAAUACAGGGAAGCGAGAAAUAAGGCACAAGGAAACGGAAUCUGCAGAAUAACUUGUCUUUCCGGUCGCCCCGCAUUUUCCCCUGGACCGAACCUCGGGUUUUGACUUUGCGAAGGGCUGGAGCCUGGCCGGGAAAGGACCUGAGCUCCGGCCGCCCUGGCGUGGAGGAGUGAGAAGGCUGGAUCUCGCUUCUAGGGAGGCCCAAGCCGCGGCUGCUAGAAGGCGACUUCGGCGAGAAAUCUGCCGAAUUCUCUCAUCCAGAGGGCGAGAGAGAAGGCGCGGGGGGUCCCUGAACCCCGGGAAAACUGGAAGAGAAAGGUGUAACGUGUGCCUCGCGGCCCGGGCAGCCAGGGGAGAUUUGAAAUGGUUUCGUGUUUUCCUUUGCAGGGGUCGCCAUGGGCUCGGCACGGGGCUUGGCCCGGGCAAGGUUAGGCUGUUUAGGCCCCAGACGAGACUUGGGACGGCCUGGGCGGCAGUCAAUCCAGGAGCCAUUUGUCCCACCGCCCACCCCUCGGGAAACGCGGAGACUUUAUGGCCACUCUGUUUGUAUUAUCUGCAUAAGUCUUUCCCUACCAGUUUGAUCGAAACUGUUCGCUUUUACGAGGACCCAACGAAAAUUCCCCGUCAUAUUUAUCAGCCGGGGAUAAAAAUUUAGUAUGGGAACUGAUAUUUCCUCAUUUAUGGGGCGAUGAAAUUAAAGACCAAAGCAAUUGAGAAUUAUAUGGCUUUGGGGGGUUCCCUCCCCCCUCUUUCACAUCUCCUUUCUUUUCCUGCCUGCUGUGCCUGUUCCUGCAGUUUGGCGUCCCAGUCCCUAGCCCUUGCCCCCCAUUUUGGGGUCUGCUGAGCCCUCUCCCCCACACCCAGGUGCCACUGCUUGUUCACCUCAGCUUUUCCUGGUUUUUCUCUCGGUGUUGGUAGCCGGAGGCCCGGACAGCGCUCCCUGAGCCUCUGCCCAGGCCAGGCUGGGAUCAGCUGGGGCUGCGGAAGGUUUCGAAGAGCCUCGAAAGGGAAGGGUCUGAGCCCAGCCUGGGAGGGGGUGAGAGAGGCAGCAGAGUAGAGGGAGACAAACUCCAGAUAACCUCUCAAAAACAUCAAGCCCCACAGGCUUAACCUGGGGAACCAGCGGGAGAGAAGCAGAGCCACUCCGCCUGCCUGGAGACCUGUCUCCUGUACCAGCCCGACCCUCAUCCCUGACUCACUCAGCCCUGGGAGGGGAUGGAGUUGCUUUCAGAAUCCUUGCCCUUAUUAGUGGAAAUAAUCCCCCCCCCCAGAUGGAGCUUCCCGCCUCCACUCCCACCUUCUCACAAGAACGAAUAGUGUUUAAAGUUGAAAUAAUUAGAAGUAUGAUAAACACGGCCCAUUAAUGAAAAAAGAAAUCAAAUUCAUCAGCCUAAGUGGGACCCCCGGUGGGACAAAUGUUUGCCUCUAAUUAUGCAGGAUAAACGCAAACCCGGAGCUGUUCAACAAGAACCCAAAGACGCAGACUCGCAGACUCCAAUAACUUGUUGGGUUUUUUGCAGACUUGGGGUCUGCCCCCAUGGAGGCGAAAGGAAAGAAGACGUGAGGGUGAGGACUGGGAGAAGGGUUCCCUGGAAAGCACACUCGGGUGUGGGUCCCAGCUCUGACCCCCUUGGGCUCUGUCUUUCCGAGGCCAGGAGCAAAGGCCGCUUCUGUCCUAUUGUCCGUCCGGGGCCUGGCGUUCAAAGGCACUCAGGCUGCCAUGGCCAUCGGCCAUCCUGCCUGCAGCCGCUGCCGGGCGCCCACUGGCCCUGCCUACGGGGCCAAGACCCCCAGGCCUGCACCCCUAGGGAACUGGAUGGGGGUCCAGGAGACCUCUGCCUUGCUAGAGCCACCCCGUUCAGCCAUUUCCCCAACUUUCCGGGGAGUGCUGUGUCUAUGCCUGACUCCGGAGCUCCCUCUUCUUGCCUCAACUUGGGGAUGUGAACAACUAGGAGCUUCAAGCCAGAGCUGCACCUACAUUUUGACAACCCCUCCCCACCCUCAGAGCCCUGGCCCCCUGUGCCCUUCUUCCCAGUCCCUGGACCCUGGAAGGGCCGCAGGGCUGGGGAGUUGGGCCUCCUGCCGCCCGCCAGUAGGACUGUGAUCCAGAGAGGUGAGGGUGCUCCUUGCAGACUAAGUUAGGAUGGUUGGCGGGUCCCAAUAGGGCUGGGGCUGAGGGCUGGGGCGCUAGGGGUCCCCAUGUGAAAACAGAAGAAGGAAAACAUAGGGCUCAAGGAACAGAAAGGAACCUCGGCUAUUCUCCGGACUCUAGCCCUCAAAGCGCCCCAGAGCCACCCUGAUUUCUCCAAGGAAAAUUAGCAGAGUUUCCCCUUGAGGUUAAGGAAGUCAUCUAGGAAAUUCCAGAGGUGAAGUGGAAAAAAAGGAAGGGUGUCUCUCCCUUUGGGGUGAAAUAAUAAAAUAAAAUAAUUAGA